CGCUCCGUCUUUGGGGAGUAGCUGGUCUCUAAGUUUUCAACUUGGUGAUUCACACAUCAACAUAUUUGGUACUCAAUUACCAUGGUGUGUGAGACCUGAGCCUUCAGGUU
rnacentral:sRNA from 2 species